rnacentral:rRNA from 1 species
CCUACGGGAGGCAGCAGUGAGGAAUAUUGGUCAAUGGACGAGAGUCUGAACCAGCCAAGUAGCGUGAAGGAUGACUGCCCUAUGGGUUGUAAACUUCUUUUAUAAAGGAAUAAAACGAGGCACGUGUGCCUUUUUGCAUGUACUUUAUGAAUAAGGAUCGGCUAACUCCGUGCCAGCAGCCGCGGUAAUACGGAGGAUCCGAGCGUUAUCCGGUUUUUUUGGGUUUAAAGGGAGCGUAGAUGGGUUGUUAAGUCAGUUGUGAAAGUUUGCGGCUCAACCGUAAAAUUGCAAUUGAUACUGGCAGUCUUGAGUACAGUUGAGGUAGGCGGAAUUCGUGGUGUAGCGGUGAAAUGCUUAGAUAUCACGAAGAACUCCGAUUGCGAAGGGAGCUUACUAAACUGCCACUGACAUUGAUGCUCGAAAGUGUGGGUAUCAAACAGGAUUAGAUACCCCAGUAGUC